CCUANGGGCGGCAGCAGUCGAGAAUUUUUCACAAUGGGCGAAAGCCUGAUGGAGCGACGCCGCGUGGGGGAUGAAUGGCUUCGGUCCGUAAACCCCUGUCAUUCGGGAACAAUGCCUGCGUAAUAACACUUCGCAGGUUGAUAGUACUGGAAGAGGAAGGGACGGCUAACUCUGUGCCAGCAGCCGCGGUAAUACAGAGGUCCCAAGCGUUGUUCGGAUUCACUGGGCGUAAAGGGUGCGUAGGUGGCUGGGUAAGUCUGAUGUGAAAUCUCGAAGCCUAACUUCGAAACUGCAUCGGAUACUACACAGCUAGAGGUCUGGAGGGGGGACUGGAAUUCUCGGUGUAGCAGUGAAAUGCGUAGAUAUCGAGAGGAACGCCAAUGGCGAAGGCUAGUCCCUGGACAGAUCCUGACACUGAGGCACGAAAGCUAGGGGAGCAAACAGGAUUAGAUACCCCANUANUC
rnacentral:rRNA from 1 species